AAGCCAUACUAAAAUGCCUACAAAAUAUUCAUUGAAUGUAUUUUUAAGGUCCAUUUUAUCAAAAAUUGCAUGUUUUUAACCUUUAAUCUUGAUAGAAAUUCUAUUUUUAGAAACAGCCCGUUAUAAGGUAUAUCCUUGAAAAUUUUUGGAAAUUUUUUUUUUCCUAAAAUUAUUAUAUGAUAAGACCUUCCUUGCAACAGAAUAUUAAGAUGAUCUUGUAACCUUGCUUCUGGAUCACUUUGCAUGGAUUUAUGUGAGACAGGCACUUAAUA
rnacentral:lncRNA from 1 species